rnacentral:rRNA from 1 species
AGCGAACGCUGGCGGCAGGCUUAACACAUGCAAGUCGAGCGGGCCCUUCGGGGUCAGCGGCGGACGGGUGAGUAACGCGUGGGAACGUGCCUUCUGGUCUGGAAUAACGCUGGGAAACUCGGGCUAAUACCCGAUACGCCCUUUUGGGGAAAGGUUUACUGCCGGGAGAUCGGCCCGCGUCUGAUUAGCUAGUUGGUGGGGUAACGGCCUACCAAGGCGACGAUCAGUAGCUGGUCUGAGAGGAUGAUCAGCCACACUGGGACGUGAGACACGGCCCAGACUCCUACGGGAGGCAGCAGUGGGGAAUAUUGGACAAUGGGCGCAAGCCUGAUCCAGCCAUGCCGCGUGAGUGAUGAAGGCCUUAGGGUUGUAAAGCUCUUUUAUCCGGGACGAUAAUGACGGUACCGGAGGAAUAAGCCCCGGCUAACUUCGUGCCAGCCGCCGCCGUAAGAC